ACACUUGUUAUCAAAAAUAAUAUAAUUAUCUCACGCACACCAUCUUGGAGGAAAAUAGGCUGUUCAUAAAACUUACAGGUCGUGGCAUGAUAAAUCCUGAAAAUAGAUUCCACAAGCCGUAGAAUGCCGCAGCAAUAACAGCAGCAAUGUCAGCAUUGGGAGUUACAGCCACGGUCAUCAUGCCAAAGUAGGCAAAGUAUAACAACGUGAAGAAUGUGAAGAACAAAUACCAACAAAACUUUGCAACUGUCCAGUCAAACCCAAUCAUUGAAUAGACUAUGAGACAAUAUAUUAGAGUUUGGGAAAGGACAUAAGGUACUUCGACCAAAACCUGCAAUAUGAGAACAGACUCUGAUAAACGAAUAAGAUAUGAACAGGAUCUGUCGUCUUAGUUUGUUUGUGCAGACAACAAAUUACCUGUGCGAAGGCAUACGCCACAGCUGAAUACAUUCCCGCUGCUCUUUCUCUAUAAAAUACUGUUCGCUCAACAUCCACUACUGGCUGCGCCGAGGCUGAAUUUUGGACACCAAGAAAGAGGCAAGCAGCGUACAUGGAACCCAUUGCAUUAAAGAGAUCAAGUCUUGUACGCCUGCAAUAAAUUAAUUACCAUAUAAGAUGACAUACAAGAUAUGCUCAAGACAUGGAGUAUAAUUUAUGUUUGUAACUUACAUUUUCGAACCAAGAUCCCAGAACAUUGAUCCAAGCGACAAUCCUGCAACUGUAGCAAAUAUAAGUCUCACAGCAAUAUAUGCUGUGUUUCGCCAGUAUGAGCAUCUUUGUUUCCAUAAGCAAGCCAGACACUGGUUGAUAAACGUUUGAGAAUAUUGGCUAGGAAAAUAGAGAUCCUUUGCACCGGGGGGAGGAACACUUAGUUCUGCAAUCAGAGCCUUGUUUCUCCUGUAUCAAAGUAUGCAUUAGUUAAAUGAGAAAGAAAUCUAAAGCGAAGGUAUCAAAACCUACAAACUUGUCGCUUCCGAAUCUACCUAAAGAGAUCUGAAUUUCUGUACACUUCAGUGAAAUCAAUCCCCNAGUGAAUUUAGAACACACUUGUUAUCAAAAAUAAUAUAAUUAUCUCACGCACACCAUCUUGGAGGAAAAUAGGCUGUUCAUAAAACUUACAGGUCGUGGCAUGAUAAAUCCUGAAAAUAGAUUCCACAAGCCGUAGAAUGCCGCAGCAAUAACAGCAGCAAUGUCAGCAUUGGGAGUUACAGCCACGGUCAUCAUGCCAAAGUAGGCAAAGUAUAACAACGUGAAGAAUGUGAAGAACAAAUACCAACAAAACUUUGCAACUGUCCAGUCAAACCCAAUCAUUGAAUAGACUAUGAGACAAUAUAUUAGAGUUUGGGAAAGGACAUAAG
rnacentral:lncRNA from 1 species